GAAGAUCAUCACCCGGAACGGCAGCGUCUGGCGCGGCGCGAAGGCGCUCACCAUGGCCAGCAUCCAGCCCAGGCCCACCGAGAUGAUUGUGGUCGAGAUGGUGAAGGUCAGGGUGGUCAAGAGCGUGUUGCGAAACGCCGGAUCGGUGAACAGCUUCACGUAGUUGCCCACGCCGAUGAAUUUCGGUUUGGCGAGGCCCUUGAUGUCGAAGAAGCUGAGCCGGAUCGUGUCGAUCAGCGGGAACACCACCGCGAUCCCGAACAGGAUCAGCACCGGGGUGAUCAGCAGCCAGGCUGCCGGCCAGUCCCUGACCCGCUUCGCGGCGAGCAGAUUGCUCUGCUCGCCAGCAAGCCGGGAGGGAACGCCGGGACGCGAGCCCGCCGUCUGGGGGGCUACGGUC
rnacentral:misc_RNA from 1 species